AACAGGAUUAGAUACCCUGGUAGUCCACGCCGUAAACGAUGAGUGCUAGGUGUUAGGGGUUUCCACCCUUAGUGCUGCAGUUAACGCAAUAAGCACUCCGCCCGGGGAGUACGGCCGCAAGGCUGAAACUCAAAGGAAUUGACGGGGGCCCGCACAAGCGGUGGAGCAUGUGGUUUAAUUUGAAGCAACGCGAAGAACCUUACCAGGUCUUGACAUCUUCGGACCACCCUAGAGAUAGGGUCUUCCCUUCGGGGACCGAAUGACAGGUGGUGCAUGGUUGUCGUCAGCUCGUGUCGUGAGAUGUUGGGUUAAGUCCCGCAACGAGCGCAACCCUUGUCCUUAGUUGCCAGCAUUAAGUUGGGCACUCUAAGGAGACUGCCGGUGACAAACCGGAGGAAGGUGGGGAUGACGUCAAAUCAUCAUGCCCCUUAUGACCUGGGCUACACACGUGCUACAAUGGAUGGUACAAAGGGCAGCAAAACCGCGAGGUCGAGCAAAUCCCAUAAAGCCAUUCUCAGUUCGGAUUGUAGGCUGCAACUCGCCUACAUGAAGCCGGAAUCGCUAGUAAUCGCGGAUCAGCAUGCCGCGGUGAAUACGUUCCCGGGCCUUGUACACACCGCCCGUCACACCACGAGAGUUGGCAACACCCGAAGUCGGUGAGGUAACCUUUUAUGGAGCCAGCCGCCGAAGGUGGGGUCAAUGAUUGGGGUGAAGUCGUAACAAGGUAACC
rnacentral:rRNA from 1 species